CCUACGGGUGGCAGCAGUGGGGAAUAUUGGACAAUGGGCGAAAGCCUGAUCCAGCCAUGCCGCGUGUGUGAAGAAGGCCUUCGGGUUGUAAAGCACUUUCAGUGGGGAAGAAAGCCUUGGGGCUAAUACCCUCGAGGAAGGACAUCACCCACAGAAGAAGCACCGGCUAACUCCGUGCCAGCAGCCGCGGUAAUACGGAGGGUGCGAGCGUUAAUCGGAAUUACUGGGCGUAAAGCGCGCGUAGGCGGUCUGAUAAGCCGGUUGUGAAAGCCCCGGGCUCAACCUGGGAACGGCAUCCGGAACUGUCAGGCUAGAGUGCAGGAGAGGAAGGUAGAAAUCCCGGUGUAGCGGUGAAAUGCGUAGAGAUCGGGAGGAAUACCAGUGGCGAAGGCGGUCUUCUGGACUGACACUGACGCUGAGGUGCGAAAGCGUGGGUAGCAAACAGGAUUAGAUACCCUAGUAGUC
rnacentral:rRNA from 1 species